GACGAACCGUGCGAACGUUGUUCGGAAUCACUGGGCUUAAAGGGUGCGUAGGCGGUCGAUCAAGUCAGGGGUGAAAGCUUACAGCUCAACUGUAAAAGGGCCUCUGAAACUGACCGACUCGAGGGAGAUAGGGGCAGGUGGAACUUCCAGUGGAGCGGUGAAAUGUGUUGAUAUUGGAAGGAACGCCGGUGGCGAAAGCGACCUGCUGGAUCUCUUCUGACGCUGAGGCACGAAAGCUAGGGGAGCAAACGGG
rnacentral:misc_RNA from 1 species